GCAUAUGUUGCUUUGAGUCGUGUGAAAACUCUCAGUGGACUGAUAAUUGAGGACUUUAAAGAGUCAAGCAUAUAUUGCAAUAACAAAAUAGACAUGGCAAUGAAAAGCUUGCCUCUGUUUACAUUUGAAAAGUCUGUUUUCUCUAAUGUUAACCAUACAUGUACACUAGCACUUCACAAUAUACAGAGUCUGAAAGCUCACUUUCAAGAUAUUUCUUCCCAUAAAACUCUAAUGAAAGCUGAUUGUAUUUGCCUAACUGAAACAUGGCUCAAUGUAGGCACUGAAGAAUUACCAGAACUUCCAGGAUUUCGCUUCAACCACAAUCCAAGAGCAAACUGUUACGAUGACACAGAGCCCCUCUUUACAGAACUGAAACAACAACAAAGAGGUGGAGUUGGUAUGUAUUAUUCAGACAACAUUGACAUUAAUGUUUUGAUUCCAGAACAAUGCAAUUUAGAAUGUUUGUAUUUUGCAAUACCUCAUGUAGAUUUGACAGGUGCCGUGUUGUACAGGCCUAGCACUUAUAAAAUUGACGUGUUUCGACAACAGCUGUUAAAGGUUAUCUGUGAACUUGAGAAGCAUCCAGGGAAGAGAGUUAUCAUGGGAGACUUUAAUGAGGAUGUCUUUGUAUCAUCUACAAUUCUAAAGUUAAUGGAACAACAUGGAUACACUCAACAUGUCCAAGCAGCAACAACUGAAAAAGACAUUUCAGUUCAGUAAACAUUGGACCUUCUGAACCCUGAGAAGACAGCAGACAGAGCAACGCGAGUCAUGAGAUCUCCAGAAAGACACCUAGAGUUUGGAUGACCGCACAAUUUUCUAAACCAUACAAUGGUGCUUCUGGAGUAAAGAUGUGGUCAACGUCAUCUUUGUCAGCAUUGAACAGCCA